GAUGAACGCUGGCGGCGUGCCUAAUACAUGCAAGUCGAGCGAACAGACGAGGAGCUUGCUCCUCUGACGUUAGCGGCGGACGGGUGAGUAACACGUGGAUAAACGACCGAUAAGACUGGGAUAACUUCGGGAAACCGGAGCUCAUACCGGAGAAUAUAUUGAACCGCAUGGUUCAAUAGUGAAAGACGGUUUUGCUGGCACUUAUAGAUGGAUCCGCGCCGCAUUAGCUAGUUGGUAAGGUAACGGCUUACCAAGGCGACGAUGCGUAGCCGACCUGAGAGGGUGAUCGCCCACACUAGAACUAAGACACGGUCCAGUCUCCUACGGGAGGCCGCAGUCGGGAAUCUUUCGCAAUGGGCGACAGCCUGACCCAGGACCGCCGCGUCAGUGAUGAAGGUCUUGGGAUCGUAAAACGCUGUUAUUAGCGAAGAACAAAUGUGUCAGUAACUAUGCACGUCUUGACGGUACCUAAUCAGAAAGCCACGGCUAACUACGUG
rnacentral:rRNA from 1 species